rnacentral:rRNA from 1 species
UACGGAGGGGGCUAGCGUUGUUCGGAAUUACUGGGUGUAAAGCGCGCGUAGGCGGAUCUGCAAGUCGGGGGUGAAAUCCCGAGGCUCAACCUCGGAACUGCCUUCGAUACUGCGGGUCUCGAGUCCGGGAGAGGUGAGUGGAAUUCCUAGUGUAGAGGUGAAAUUCGUAGAUAUUAGGAAGAACACCAGUGGCGAAGGCGGCUCACUGGCCCGGUACUGACGCUGAGGCGCGAAAGCGUGGGGAGCAAACAGG